rnacentral:rRNA from 1 species
CUUCUUGAAUUGAUAUGAAGUCGUACCUGCCCACUGAGGAUUUUAAUGGCCGCGGUAUUUUGACCGUGCAAAGGUAGCAUAAUCAUUAGUCUUUUAAUUGGAGGCUGGAAUGAAUGGUUUGACGAAGCAAUAACUGUCUCGAUUUAAUUAAAUUGAAUUUUAUUUUUAAGUUAAAAAGCUUAAAUGAUAAUAGGGGACGAGAAGACCCUAUAGAUCUUUAAAUGAUAAUGUAAUGGUAAUGGGUUGGUUGUAUUUAUAUAUUAUUAAAUUGUUAUUUUUGGUUGGGGUGACAAGAGAAUAUAAAAACUUCUUUAAUUUAAACUGUGAUGAUUGGUUUUAUGAUCCUGUAUUAUGGAAUGAAGAUAAAGAUACCUUAGGGAUAACAGCGUAAUUUUGUUGGAGAGUUCAUAUUGAUAAUGAAGAUUGCGACCUCGAUGUUGGAUUAAGAAUAUAAUUAGGUGCAGGAGCUUAAUUUAUUGGUCUGUUC